UCCAAAUGAAAAUGAGGAAGAGCCUUCUA
rnacentral:piRNA from 1 species